GUCUAGGGCCAUACCACCCUGAACGCGCCCGAUCUCGUCUGAUCUCGGAAGCUAAGCAGGGUCGGCCCGGUUAGUACUUGGAUGGGAGACCACCUGGGAAUGCCGGGUGCCUUAGGCU
rnacentral:rRNA from 1 species